AGAGUUUGAUCAUGGCUCAGAUUGAACGCUGGCGGCAUGCCUAACACAUGCAAGUCGAACGGAAACGAUGCUAGCUUGCUAGCAGGCGUCGAGUGGCGGACGGGUGAGUAAUAUAUAGGGAUCUGCCUAAUAGUGGGGGACAACGUGUGGAAACGCACGCUAAUACCGCAUACGCUCUACGGAGGAAAGUGGGGGAUCUUCGGACCUCAUGCUAUUAGAUGAACCUAUAUCGGAUUAGCUUGUUGGUGAGGUAAUGGCUCACCAGGGCGACGAUCCGUAGCUGGUUCGAGAGAAUGAUCAGCCACACUGGGACUGAGACACGGCCCAGACUCCUACGGGAGGCAGCAGUGGGGAAUAUUGCACAAUGGACGAAAGUCUGAUGCAGCAAUGCCGCGUGUGUGAAGAAGGCCUUCGGGUUGUAAAGCACUUUCAGAUGUGAGGAAAAGCAGUCUAUUAAUACUAGAUUGCCGUGACGUUAACAUCAGAAGAAGGACCGGCUAACUCCGUGCCAGCAGCCGCGGUAAUACGGAGGGUCCAAGCGUUAAUCGGAAUUACUGGGCGUAAAGCGCGCGUAGGCGGAUAAUUAAGUCAGAUGUGAAAUCCCUGGGCUCAACCUAGGAACUGCAUUUGAUACUGGUUAUCUAGAGUAUGGUAGAGGUGAGUGGAAUUUCAGGUGUAGCGGUGAAAUGCGUAGAGAUCUGAAGGAACAUCAGUGGCGAAGGCGACUCACUGGGCCAUUACUGACGCUGAGGUGCGAAAGCGUGGGUAGCAAACAGGAUUAGAUACCCUGUAGUCCACGCCCUAAACGAUGUCAACUAGGUGUGUGAGAGUCUAACUCUUGCGUAUCGAAGCUAACGCGAUAAGUUGACCGCCUGGGGAGUACGGUCGCAAGACUAAACUCAAAUGAAAUUGACGGGGGCCCGCACAGCGUUGAGCAUGUGGUUUAUUUCGAUGCAACGCGAAGAACCUUACCUGGCCUUGACAUGUACGGAGGUUUU
rnacentral:rRNA from 1 species